CACUAAGAAGCUUUGAUAGCAUUAACCUUUUAAGUUGAAGAAGAAAUAUACUUUCCUUGGUGA
rnacentral:tRNA from 1 species